rnacentral:rRNA from 1 species
AGUGAACGCUGGCGGUAGGCCUAACACAUGCAAGUCGAACGGCAGCACAGUAAGAGCUUGCUCUUACGGGUGGCGAGUGGCGGACGGGUGAGGAAUACAUCGGAAUCUACUUUUUCGUGGGGGAUAACGUAGGGAAACUUACGCUAAUACCGCAUACUACCUACGGGUGAAAGCAGAGGAUCUUCGGACCUUUCGCGAUUGAAUGAGCCGAUGUCGGAUUAGCUAGUUGGCGAGGUAAAGGCCCACCAAGGCGACGAUCCGUAGCUGGUCUGAGAGGAUGAUCAGCCACACUGGAACUGAGACACGGUCCAGACUCCUACGGGAGGCAGCAGUAGGGAAUAUUGGGCAAAGGGCGAAAGCCUGACCCAGCCAUACCGCGUGGGUGAAGAAGGCCUUCGGAUUGUAAAGCUCUUUUGUUAGGGAAGAAAAGAAGCAUGUGAAUCUCUGCAUGUUCUGACGGUACCUAAUGAGUAAGCACCGGCUAACUUCGUG